UCCCCGUUACCGGGGCAGUCUACCUAGAAAAAUCCAACUAAGUAUAAGGGUUGCGCUCGUUGAUGGACUUAACCAAACAUCUCACGACACGAGCUGACGACGGCCAUGCAACACCUGUCACUGAAUUCCCGAGGGCACAGUAUCCUUUCGGAUGCCUUUUCAGGAUGUCAAACCUUGGUAAGGUUCUUCGCUUACCUUCGAAUUAAAGAACACGCUCCACCGCUUGUGCGGGUCCCCGUCAAUUCCUUUAUGUUUUAGUCUUGCGACCGUACUCCACAGGCGGGAUGCUUAACGCGUUAGCUUCGCUACUACUCGGGUCGAUACGAGUAACAGCUAGCAUCCAUCGUUUACGGCGUGGACUAC
rnacentral:misc_RNA from 1 species